GUUCUCAGCAAUGAUUCUUCCAUUGUAGCACUUACAGAAGCCUAUGCGGCCCCGCAAGGGGUUCCUACAACGACAGUAAAUAAAAAGUAGUACUACGCAAGUCAGAAAUGGCAACAUAAUCAAAUUGCGGGGAGCCCUAAAGCCUUUCAGUACCAACUGUAAACAGAAAUGUUUACAGGGCCUAUGUUAACCGCAUAGGGUGGUCAUAACCUGGAAGGAUGUACAAUGGGUAAUCCGCAGCGAAGCCCCUACCACUAGUAAUAGUCACGGGGAACGUUCACAGACUAAAUGAUUAUGGGCAGUCCUAGGGACUGCUUAAGAUAUAGUCGGGUCCUCUGAGAGAUUAGAGGCUAUCUAAUAAACCGUUCCGUAGGUGAACCUGCGGAAGGAUCAUUACAGAGUUCAUGCCCUCACGGGUAGACCUCCCACCCUUGUGUAUUAUAUCAUAUGUUGCUUUGGCGGGUGCAAGCCCGCCAGAGGACCCAAACUCUGAGUUUAGUGUCGUCUGAGUACUAUAAAAUAGUUAAAACUUUCAACAACGGAUCUCUUGGUUCUGGCAUCGAUGAAGAACGCAGCGAAAUGCGAUAAGUAAUGUGAAUUGCAGAAUUCAGUGAAUCAUCGAAUCUUUGAACGCACAUUGCGCCCCUUGGUAUUCCGAGGGGCAUGCCUGUUCGAGCGUCAUUAUAACCAAUCCAGCCUGGCUGGGUCUUGGGCUCCGCCAACCGGCGGGCCUUAAAAUCAGUGGCGGUGCUGCCAGGCUCUAAGCGUAGUAAAUACCUCGCUAUAGGGUCCUGGUGGAGGCUUGCCAACAACCCCCAACUUCUUAGGU
rnacentral:sRNA from 1 species